rnacentral:rRNA from 1 species
UACGUAGGGGGCUAGCGUUGUCCGGAAUCACUGGGCGUAAAGGGUGCGUAGGCGGGUCUUUAAGUCAGGGUGAAAUCCUGGAGCUCAACUCCCAGAACUGCCUUUGAUACUGAAGAUCUUGAGUUCGGGAGAGGUGAGUGGAACUGCGAGUGUAGAGGUGAAAUUCGUAGAUAUUCGCAAGAACACCAGUGGCGAAGGCGGCUCACUGGCCCGAUACUGACGCUGAGGCACGAAAGCGUG